CUGGAGCCAGGAUCCACCCCUUACAGACCUCAUUUAAGGGUUGGCAGGGUGGGUGAGGGUUUUUUGCUGGAGAUCCGUGCCUACUUGAGGCCUUCCAAAAGUAUCAGAUUCCCUAAAGAAAAACACACAUUUCAGGACAAGGCUUAUUCUAGGGCGAGGAGCAAUUCUCAACCUUACUGGUCCUGAAGGAGUUCCAGAGAACAAGAAAUUUCUUGGUUUCAACCAAAUGUUCAGUUCCUUUAAGGGACCUGGAGUUUAUUGAAAUCAGGAAGGAGCUAUUUUUUUCUUUCUGGACAACCCACAUGAGGAGGGUGCAGAAAUCUGCCUACUGCUCCUGAAUAUUAAACACAACAAGACAAAAAGACUUUUCAUGCGCAUGUGUUCUGCUAAAGGCUUUUCCUCCUUUCCCAAGUAAACUUUCAUGCAGUGCAUUAAGGGCAUCUGGAGAUGAGUGGGAGUAUCUAUUGUUAGGAGAGAAACAUCAUGUUAACCCAAACUACUGUACUUUGAGUGUAAUACCGGCCUAGAUUUCUUAAUUGACUUGUAUGUCAUCAAGAUCAUGGAGAAGUUGCCUCUGAUGCAAUGAAAAAGAGGGAUGAAAUAAUCCUCCACACCAAAACAAAACAGAAAAAGCCAUGAAAAAUCAGGACUGUAGCACUAAGGAGUCUGUGAAAUCAAAUGAAGAUAUGGAGCUUCCCACUGUUGUGCCUAGAAUGAAAACUUCAGCAGAAGCUAAGUUAUCUUCUACAGAGCUGGUCAGGGAUCUUCCAUGAGGCAAUACUUAACUAAAAUACUGCUUGAGCUUAUAGCAUAGAAGGGCUAUCAUGCUCUUAAUAGAACAAUCUUUCCUUACUAUUCUGUGAUAAGAAACCUCUGCUUAAUGUGUAUGUUUUGAGAAGAGUUAGUGAUGUCUUCAGAUUAAAAAAAUAAAUAUUUUGCCUUUAUAUUAAAGAAAGAUGAACUACAGCUCUUCAGGUAAAUUGAAUUUGGAAGCAUGUACCUGAGUAUAGAAGAUAACAUAGUAGAACAGACAGUAUGCUAACAGAUAUAGAAGUGAAAGUAAAAUAAAUAUAGAAGAAGAUGUAUGGAAGAGUGUGAAAUAUUUUUAUGCAAGUUUUUCAUAUUUCUAGGGAAAAAAAAUUAUGUCUUGGUUGCGAGAUUCAUGUCCUUGAACCUGGAAAAUUUUUCUGCUUUUAUGUAUUUUGUGGUAACUGCUAUUUUAAGUGCUGUGUUAUAAUGUGUAAAUAAACA